rnacentral:lncRNA from 1 species
ACAGAGUUGUUUCGAUUAGAAGGGGCGCAUGAUAGUUGUUGAUUCUAAAACGAAGAUGAUGAAUUGUUGGUGAUACGUUAUGUUGCAGAACAAAGAUGGAUACGUUGUUGCGUUCGUGAUGAAGGGAGAGUGAUGGUUGUUGAUUCGUGAUGAAGCAUUACGUUGAUGAACGACGAAGGAUGCGCGGCGGUGACCUCCUCCAACUUGCGGUGAGUUUUUCUUAUGCCUUUGCUCUUUCUGUUAUGAUUUUUCUGCGAAUUUAUGGUAUUUGGUUGCUAUGAGAGUUGUUCUUGGGAGGUUGGGGUUGAACAGUGUUUGAAGGUUGUUGAAGGUUGUCCUUCAAAGAAGUUGGUUGUGGAAGUUAAGAUUGGAGAAGAAAAAGGAAAUUCAGGUUUUUGCAGGGUUGUCAUGAGAGAUUUUUGGAGGGUGAAUUAUGGUUGGAGAAUGGAGAGGGAUUGGAGGAUGGUGAAGGGUGAGGUUGAAGAAGAGGGUUGGUGCAGAUUUAUUAUGGGCGUUUUGUAGUGAAGAAGUUCCUUCCCUUUUUGUUCUGCAGGAUUGGUUAUACAUGGUGAUUAGGAGUUCUGUUAGUUUUCAGUUGGAGUUUGUUAUGUUUUUGGAUGAGUUUCUUGUAGUAGUUUUAGUUGGUUAGGAAGUUUCUUGUAGUAGUUUUCAGUUGGAAGUUGGUUGCUAUGAGAGUUGUAGUAACAUUGGAAUGUAUUUGUUAUUAAAACAUGAUUUGACUAUACUAUAUAAGUUGUAAUGGAAUUUUGGUUAAAUGACGGAUUAGAUUUUGGCUUAUGGAACGGUUUUGAACGUCGAAUGUAU